CAAUAGCGUAUAUUAAAGUUGUUGCGGUUAAAAAGCUCGUAGUUGGAUUUCGGGGUGGCCUGCCUGGUCCACCGCAAGGUGAGUACUGGUCAGCCGCCCUUCCUCUCGAAAGCCCCGACUGCUCUUCAUUGCAGUGGUCGGGUAGUUCGGGACGUUUACUUUGAAAAAAUUAGAGUGUUCAAGGCAGGCUCUCGCCUGAAUACAUUAGCAUGGAAUAAUGGAAGAGGACCUCGGUCCUAUUUUGUUGGUUUCUAGGGCCGAAGUAAUGAUUAAGAGGGACAGUUGGGGGCAUUCGUAUUUAAUUGUCAGAGGUGAAAUUCUUGGAUUUAUGAAAGACGAACUAGUGCGAAAGCAUUUGCCAAGGAUGUUUUCAUUAA
rnacentral:rRNA from 1 species